GGUUGUAUAGUGUAGCGGUCAGCACACCAGAUUCUGAUUCUGGAGACCUGGGUUCGAUUCCCAGUACGACCU
rfam:Emmonsia parva TAMH 139 supercont1.1774, whole genome shotgun sequence.